rnacentral:rRNA from 1 species
AGUGAACGCUGGCGGUAGGCCUAACACAUGCAAGUCGAACGGCAGCACAGUAAGAGCUUGCUCUUACGGGUGGCGAGUGGCGGACGGGUGAGGAAUACAUCGGAAUCUACUUUUUCGUGGGGGUUAACGUAGGGAAACUUACGCUAAUACAGCAUACGACCUACGGUUGAAAGCAGGGGAUCUUCGGACCUUGCGCGAUUGAAUGAGCCGAUGUCGGAUUAGCUAGUUGGCUGGGUAAAGGCCCACCCAGGCGACGAUCCGUAGCUGGUCUGAGAGGAUGGUCAGCCACACUGGAACUGAGACACGGUCCAGACUCCUACGGGAGGCAGCAGUGGGGAAUAUUGGACAAUGGGCGCAAGCCUGAUACAGCCAUACCGCGUGGGUGAAGAAGGUCUUCGGGUUGUAAAGCCCUUUUGUUGGGAAAGAAAAGCAGCCGGUUAAUACCCAGCUGUUGUGACGGUAACCAAAGAAUAAGCACCGGCUAACUUCGUG